CCGCGAUGCUCCCAGGUGAGCUCCCUUCGCGGCCACUUCUUGCAGGGAAAUCGGAUCCGCUGGGCCGCCGCCUCGGAAUCCCGAGCGUCUACGCGAUGGGACGCUUAGAUCCUGGAUAUUGGAGCUUAGAGAGUGAGUAGGAAGCCAGGAGGUUUCUACUUGCUCUGGGAAUCUUCUGUGACCACCUCAACUCGGUGGGGCGUCUCUCCUCUCUGGUGAAACUGCUCACUCAUCCCCUCAAAGCCCAGCUGCUGUCUCCAGAGCCACCUGGGAAUGGAAGUGAAAAAGCUGUUGAUGUUUCUGCUUUCUCCAACGGUUCUCAGAAGGGUGACGCCGAUGCUGCUGGCCCAGGAACCAUGCUCGGAGGAUCCCUGGCCUAAAUGAACUCGAGUCCCAGUUGGCAAAAAGGCCUUCCUGCAGCUCCUUGAACCUGCCGUGCUCUUUCCUUUCCGGGAGCCUUCACAUUUGCUGUCCCUUUGCCUGGAACAUCUUCCCUGCCUCUUCACCAGACCAACUGCUGCUCACCCUUCAGGUCUCUGCUUAAACAUCCUUUCCUCAGACAGGCUGUCCCCGAUGCUUUGAAUCAGUCAACACAUGUUUUUGUUCCAAGUAGGAGAAAAUCCCCUUCAAACUGGUUCAAGCAGUUUGAAUAAAAAGGGAGUUUAUUGCCUCAUGUAACUAAGACAUUGGAGAAUAAAAGCUCACACACAGACUUUGCUUCAUGUCUCAGCUCUGCUGCCUUGGGGCUGGCUUUGUCCUCAGACAGACUCCCACCCCACUGCCAGCCCUGGCCCCCAGGACUGUGUUUCCCUGUCCUUUGAGGUGCGCAUCUCUGACUGAUCAGGCCUGGGUCUCAAGCCACCCCCACCCCUAACAGGAUGACAGAAUCAGUAUGGAAGGCGAGUCGGGAAGGGUUGUUUCCCCAAAUGAGAAACGGAGCAUUGUUACCUGAAGAAGGGGGACGCAUUCCAGGCAGGUAAAAUAAACACCAAUGUAUUCCUUUUAUGCCUUUGCUGGCACCUGAAUGUGUCCUUUACACACCCAGGUGCCCUCUUGCCUCAGGAGCUUUGCUUUUAUUUUAAAAUCACCUAAAAUCCUUUUUCAAAAAGUAUUUUAUUUUGAAAUUUCAUACAGAAAAAUUUUUCAAAUAAUACAUACCCUUAACCCAAAUUCCCUAAACGUUAACAUUUUAACAUUCUUUGCCUUUACAUUUUUUUCUUUCUACACAUGUGUAUUUAUAUAUGUGUGCAUACACAUACAUAUUGUAUAUGCACCUAGAUAAUCUAUUUUUUUUCUGAACUGUUUGAGAGUAAGUUACAGGCAUAAUCCCCUUAGCAUUAAUACAUCAGUGUGCAUUUUGCCUGGAAUGUGUAUCCUCCAGAGACCCAUGCGGCUCACUGGGAUAUGUGGCACAGCCUCGCCACCUUCAAGUUCUUGCUCAAAGGAAACCUUGUCAAGGAGGCCUGUCAGAGCCCACCACUCCAUACACACGGCUUCCCUUCUCAGACUUCUUACCCCUCUUUACCUUUUCUUCUUUUAUAGCACCUUUCAUUUUCUAGGAUACUUUAGAAUUUAUGUGUUAAGUCUGUGUAUUUUAAGCUUCAUAAAGACCCGGCUCUCGUGUUCACUGAAAUAUCCCAAGCUCCCCAAACAGUAUUUAGCACAUAGCAGAUGGUCAAUAUAUGCUUAUUGAAUGAAGGAAGGAAGGAAUGGGGCAACCCAAGGUCUUGGCCACUGAGCCACAGGGUGCUUUUCAUCAGGCCCUGCCGAGGGCCGGACUGGUUUGGGAGCUUUUCUAUGAUGUCCUCUGCUGUUGCCCAGACUCUCCAUGGACCAUAUGUGACACUGAUUUAUGUGACCUUUGUGCUUGUUGGGAUGAACCAUGGUAACACUGUGAGAUCUAAGUGUUAUUGUUACCUUUGCCUUCCUUUUGUCUCUCCUUCCCCUGCCCCAAAGCCACCCUUUACCCUAAUGUGCUUCUCCCACAAGGCAACCAUUCCCCUCCUGUGUGGCAGAGGCAGGGCCGUGUGGUACAGGGGCAGGAGCCCUUGGAAAACUGCCCCCAGUUCUCUCCUCGGUGACUUCCAUGACCUCUGAGACUCUUGGUGGCUCAGCUAUCACCCGCCAGCCUCCUAAUAUCCUCACCUAGGGAAUCUGGGUUGAGAUUGUGGCCUUUUCUCGGACGAAAGAAUGUGCGGUUUGCUCUCACAGGAAAGAGAUGAUGAGAAAAGUACUUUCAGGUCUGGGGUAGCUGCUUCCUGCCUCUCAGUUUGCGAACUAAACAAAUCUGAAUGUAAAUCUAAAGCUGCCACACCCCAGUACUUCUAUGACCCUGGCAAUUUGCUUCAGUGUCUGAGUCUUAGUGUUUUCCACUGUAAAAUAGGUAUGGUAAUAUUUUCUUCAGAAGGUUUUUGGGAGGGAUAAAUUAAAAGAUACAUGCAAAGCACUUUGCAUACCACCUGACACAUAGAAAGUGUUCCAGAAAUAGUAACCAGUAUUGGCUUCUGGGCUCUGAAUGGACUCCUGCAGGCACACAUGGGCAGGGGUGGGAGGGGGUGCACUCCUGGAGUCCUGUUUGCACACCAGUUGUGGGCCUGGGUGCUGUGUGUGACUGCUGCCAGGA